GCCCGCACCGCUCAAGAUCCGGAAAGCCCUCUGCGGAAGCGGCUGGCUGCUCGCCCCGCCUCUUCCGCUCUCUCUUUCUAGGUCUACCGGAAGGCAACAAGGCGACCCUGACUGUCUUAAAAGAUGCGGAAGAGCGAUUCCCACCCCGCUUAGGGCGGCAAGCGCUGACCUUGGAGCCCCGGAUAUCAGCCUGGCGGGCAGGGGGUCGCACCGGAGAGCAUGGGCGGGUCCGGACACAGCAGGGGACGAAGCUGCCUUCCCUUUACCUCGGGAAGACUUCAUAAAGGAGUAGAUGUGUCCCAGUCGGAGGAAGAUGAAGUGCAUCUCAGAAGCAUCAACUACGAAACUAAUGGUUCGCUCAUAGCAUGCCUUGGCCUCAGCGUGAUUUCCACUCAGAAAAUAGAGAUGGCCCUUCACACCCCAGACAUUAGGGUUCUGAGGAAGCAGACAAGGAAAAUGCAGAGUGAUGUGGUAUUUAAGUCUCUAAUGAGUUUUGUUUAACAUUUAAAUUUAAAUCAGUACA